UCAGGAUGAACGCUAGCGGCAGGCCUAACACAUGCAAGUCGAGGGGCAGCGGGGUGUAGCAAUACACUGCCGGCGACCGGCGCACGGGUGCGUAACGCGUAUGCAACCCACCCGCAACAGGGGCAUAACGGAGGGAAACUUCCACUAAUUCCCCGUAUUGUCGUUAUCCCGCAUGGGGUUAUGACGAAAGCUUCGGCGGUUGCGGACGGGCAUGCGUGGCAUUAGGUAGUUGGCGGGGCAACGGCCCACCAAGCCAUCGAUGCCUAGGGGAGCUGAGAGGCUAAUCCCCCACACUGGUACUGAGACACGGACCAGACUCCUACGGGAGGCAGCAGUGAGGAAUAUUGGUCAAUGGUCGGAAGACUGAACCAGCCAAUGCCGCGUGGGGGAAGGAGGCCCUACGGGUCGUAAACCCCUUUUAGCCGGGAGUAAUAAGGGCGGUGCGCCGUCCGAUGAGAGUACCGGCGGAAUAAGCAUCGGCUAACUCCGUGCCAGCCGCAGC
rnacentral:rRNA from 1 species